rnacentral:lncRNA from 1 species
UUAUUGUCUUGAUAAUCUUGUACAUUUAUCUCAGCUUGAGAAGCUCAAAGUUCAGUUCAGAGAGAGUUAUAUGCUAAUUUUCAGGUGGAUGAGCGAAGAUUGGAUGGACCUUUCUUCGCUACACAUUCCACAUUGUGACAAUUUCCCACCAAACCUUAAGAAGUUAACAUUGUGCAGAACACACAUACAAUGGGAAGACAUGAACAUUCUUAGAAAAUUACCUAAUCUUGAGGUGCUCAAACUUAAACAUCAUGCCUUUCUCGGACUAAUUUGGAAACUAAGCGAUGAAGAUGAAGAUGGAUUCUUGAAGCUAAAGUUUUUACUUCUUGAGAACAUGAAUCUGAUGCAAUGGGAAGCAACAAGUUAUCAUUUCCCAAACCUUGAGCACUUGGUUCUAACAGAUUGCUAUUUGUUGGAGCAAAUGCCUUUUGACUUUGCAGAGAUUCAGACACUACAGCUGAUUGAACUACACAAAUGUAAGUGUUCUGUUCUUGUUUCAGCAGAGCAAAUACAAGAGGAGCAACAAAGCUUGGGAAAUGAUGACCUCGUUAUUCAUGUGAACUAUAUACGUGAGUAAACAUUAAUCAAAAAAGGUAUACAUUUCUUAAAAGCAUAAAGAUUUUACUUGCUUCUUUUGUUUACAAUAAUGUUUUAUCAUUUUGAAUAUGUUGACUUUUAGUCAAUUUUAUUUUUUCUUUAGUUCAAAACAAUAUAAUAAAAGAGUUUAUGAUGAUUCCUUGAUUGCAUACCAUUUUUAUGUUCGAGCAUGGACAAAUGUAUCUCAAGAAUUUGACACUAGAGAAAUUUUUCUUGGUAUUCUUCGCUCCAUUGGCGUGGUCAACGAUGAAGUAGAAAGAAACAGUACUAAUGAGCAAUUGGCUGAAAGAGUUUAUCGAAGUUUAAAAGGGAGGAAGUAUCUCAUUAUCCUAGAUGAUAUGUGGUCCAUCGAGGCUUGGAAGCAUGUGAGGAGACUAUUUCCGGAUGAUCAUAAUGGAAGUCGAAUCGUGUUAACCACGAGGCUUGUAGAUGUUGCAUCUUGUGCUUGCUCUGGCAAUUCCCUUCACCAGAUGCGCUUUCUGAGUGUGGCGGAAAGCUGGACUGUAACAUCCGGCAAUUUGAAAUAACUAUGAAGAAGCUUGGAAUUGGAAAUAGUCAUUUUUGGAAAGACUUUUAAAAAAAUCUGGAAAAUUUGGUUGUUAAGUAUGGGUAAAAGGUGAGUUUUUGGCCAACUUUGAACAGUCAUAACGUCUAGCUCAAGAUGAGUUAGGUGUAGUUCCAGUUAUGUUUACAAAGCUCGUGGAAUGAUCUUUCCAACGCCAUCGAGUUUUCUCGAUUCUGAGUUCGUAUGAGUGAGUUAUGCCCUUUGGAAAUUGGGCAGUUGGCAGGGAAGUCCGUCCGGAAAUUUUAAGGGUAUUUUGGUCUUUUCCCUAACCAAUUCUUUUGGAUAUAUUAAGGUGUUAGACUGAUUUUAGAUCAGUUUUUCCCUUUUUGAAAGAGUGAGAGUGAGGGUUUGUGAGUAAAGAGGAAAAGAAGGGGAGAAAGAGAAGAUCAAGCAAGGUUUCGUCAAAGAUCGUCGUGGAUAUUGUCGGGGGUGAUCCCUACUAGGUAUGUGAGAUCAUAGUGUUUGGUUGGUUCAUUCCCCCACACGCCAAAUUCGUUUUAAUAUCCGAGAAAAGAUUUGGUUGUGUUUAUUGAAGUCUUGUGGUUGUGGUUGGUGAGGUUGUGGUUGUGUUAUUGAAGUUCUUGUGGAUUUGAGACAUGUUUUAGGUUGUGUUUUCGAGUUGAAUCUAUUGUGUAUUAAGGGGUUUUAAUGAUCCCAAGUGUUUGGGGAAGGAACCUUUGAAGUUAAGAGGGUUUAGAGUUGGUAACAUGAAGGAGAAAAGUCGGGCAGCUUGCAUGAAACAAGUCUGCGUCGCAGACUUGUUCCCUCUGUGAACAAAUCUGCUCCGCGUCGCGGACAGGACGCGGACUUCACUGUUUCAAAAAUUUAAUUUCGUAAUUUUUCUUAAGUUUAGCUGUCCUAAAUCAUUCCUAAACAUCAUGAGGUCUUUCCAAACACAAAUCAUGAAUCCUUGAAUCCAUAAUUCAAUUCAAGAAAGUUAGGAUCAAAGUCAAGUGAAGUUAAGAGUCAAGUCUAAAAGUUAAGAAGCAAGUCUUUAAAGCUUUUCAAGAGUCUUUAUUAAACGUUUUAACUUCGUUUUAAGGCUCAAGUUUCAAGUUAAGUAAAGUGUAUAGAGUUUCAAGUUAAGUAAAGAGUAUAGAGUGUCAAGUCAAGUAAAGAGUAAGAACAAUGUAGCCAAACAUGGGACUUAACGGGUUAUUCUUUUUAGAUGAUCACGUAAGAUUAAGCUAGUGGAUUCACUAAGUAAAGUAAGGUCCUAUAUCACGGAAAAGUAUAGGAUGGUCCUUGGGCAACGUGAGGUAAAACGUUGUAUCAUCACUAGGGCUCAUAGUGGUGGUUGUCGGUUAAAGAAUCUCCCACAAAAGUUAUAUUAACUUUUAUAUAAGUAAAGUUGAGUUGUUAUUGCUUUAUCCUUAACGAACUAAGUUGUUUACACUGUUUUGCAAGCUUUAUAUAUAUUGCGUGUGUCUUAUUGCUUUAUAUUGAGUUCGGUUAUUCAUGAGUUGAAUAGAGCCAAGGUAAGUGUUCUCUUGUACUCCUUUCAAGCUUAAGUUGUUGUUUAGCUUUCCAGCUCGCAUACUCGUACAUUAAAUGUACUGAUGCCAGUUGACAUGUAUCUUAUUAUGAUGCAGACACAGGUACCCAGGAUCAGCAUUCGGCACACCGUUGAUCCAGCCGAGCACUUCCGAGUCAGUGGUGAGCCUCUUUGCAUUCCGGAGUACUCAGUUAUUUUGUUCUCUUAGUUUGUUUUAUUAGGAUGUUCCGGGGUCUGUCCCAACAUCCAUCUCAGUGUUAUAGAGGCUUCAUAGACAGUCAGUCAGUUAGUAUUGAGUCUCUCAUCUAUGUAUAUAUGUAAAUAUUCUAUUUUGAGACUCGAGUUGCCUUUUUGGGCCAGAUUUUAUCAGUUAAGUUGUUUUAUGUCCUUGCAUUGCAUGGAGUUAUUCUGUUGAGUUAGGUUUCCGCUGAGUUAAGAAAGUCAGGCCAAAGGUUCGCUUGGGGCCAACAAUGGUCUUCGAGUGCCAGCCAUGUCCAGGGUAUAGGCUCGGGGCAUGGCAAUCUUUUACGCGAUAAGGUCUUUGGGAACGGUAGGUACCCUCCGGAAUUGGAGAAAAUUGGGAGGUACAUUGGCCACCAGUGUCAAGGGUUGCCACUUGCAAUUGUUGCAAUUGGUGGACUACUUUCCAAGAUGAGCAAGGAAACAAGUUCUUGGGAGAACGUUGCAGAAAAGGUAGGAUCACUUAUGACCAGUGACACUAUGGAUUGCUUGAACAUACUUUCUUUGAGCUACAACCACUUGCCUCAGUACUUGAAAACAAACAUGCUUCCUUUAUAUGGGAGUUUUUGCAGAAACUCAUGAGAUUCCGGUCUGGAAGUUAAUAAAGUUAUGGAUUGCUGAGGGAUUCGUCAAGAAAGUUUAUCAUAAAAAUCUUGAAGAUGUGGCAGAGGAAAAUUUGAGGGAGUUAGUUGAUAGAAGUUUGGUUUUGGUGGGGAAGCAUAGCUCCCUAGGUUUUAUCAAGACUUGUAAAAUGCAUGAUCUCGUUCGAGAUAUGUGUUUGAGAGAAGCCCAAUAUGAGAAUUUUAUUCACUUCAAAACAAGGUAUGACAACGAUGAUCUUCUAGAAAACUUUAAUUGUCUACGUCGUGUAGUUGAUUUCAAUAAAUAUGGAUACAGUGAAAUUCCUAAACUUAUGCCACUCACACGUUCUGUUUUCUUCAAAUAUCCACACUUUUUUUGUUUCCUCUCACAGUCAAGCUUUAGAUUACUUAGGAUAUUAGAUGUUUGCUUUACAUCUUUUUUGUACUGUAGUCAAUCCAUAUCAGAACUUGUUCAUUUGAAGUAUCUUGCUUGUCCGUCCUUUGAUGGUCUUGUGCAAUCAGUAUGUAAGCUACGGAAUAUACAGAACUUAGUUAUUCAUGAUUUAAAUUUAUCUGGUUUACAUAUGAGAACCCAGUCCCUACCAUGGGAAGUUGUGAAUAUGCCUCAACUAAGACAUAUCCAUACAAAAAAGUUCAGUCUUUUCAUACCCCCACCUACAUCACUAAUUGCUGAGAGGGAGAAUCACUUGCAAACGUUAACCGGAUUGGAGCCCUCAUCUUGUAACGAUGAGGUGUUUCUAAGAAUUCCAAAUUUGAAGAAGUUGGGAAUAUUAAUUGUUGAUUCAGACACUAUUAGGAAGUGUUAUUGUCUUGAUAAUCUUGUACAUUUAACUCAGCUUGAGAAGCUCAAAGUUGAGUUCAGCGAGAGUUAUCUGCUAAUUUUUAGGCGGAUUAGCGAAGGUUGGGUGGACCUUUCUUGGCUACACAUUCCACAUUGUGACAAUUUCCCACCAAACCUUAAGAAGUUAACAUUGUGCGGAACUUACCUACAAUGGGAAGACAUGAACAUUCUCAAAAAAUUACCUAAUCUUGAGGUGCUCAAACUUAAACAUCAUGCCUUUCACGGACUAAUUUGGAAACUAAGCGAUGAAGAUGAAGAUGGAUUCUUUCAGUUAAAGUUUUUACUUCUUGAGAGCUUGCAUCUGAAGCAAUGGGAAGCAACAAGUUAUCAUUUUCCAAGCCUUGAGCACUUAGUCCUAACAGAUUGCUAUUCAUUGGAGCAAAUUCCUUUCGACUUUGCAGAGAUUCAAACACUACAGCUGAUUGAACUACACAAAUGCAUGCUUUCUGUUCUUGAUUUAGCAGAGCAAAUACAAGAGGAGCAACAAAGUUUGGGAAAUGAUGACCUUGUUAUUCGUGUGAACUAUAUACGUGAGUAACAUUAAUAAAAAAGGUAUACAUUUUUUAAAAGCAUAAAGAUUUUUUUUCCUGAAUUUUUCUUACAUAGCUCUUAUCUUGGAUAACUUUUUCUAUCUUAUAAAAGUUAGUGUGCAGUACAAAAUAUUAAUUUGAUUAGCUAGAUUCUUUCGAAAUCUGAAAUUGAUUCUUAUAUUCAUCAUUUUUAUUUAUUUAUACUAUAAAAGGUGCUAAUUACAAUAGGUUUUGUGCAUUGCAGACAAAAAACUUAGUUGAUGGAGAGUGCCAUAAGAUAUACUCAAGCAUAAAUAAGUUGAUCACUCUUUGCAGUAGUUGAUCUUACCUUUCAGUGUAUUUCGAUUUCCUUUUUCCAGUUCAACUUGUUUGGGACUGAGGCUUAGUUUAGUGAAUUGUAUAUCUAGAUAUAAUUCAAAUAUAAUGCAUUUACUUUGGAAUGUGUAUGUAUUUGAACGUACUUCUCUUAGUUGCUUGUACCACCAUGUUGAAUCAAUAUAUUUAUUUGCAGGCAUUGUCCAAAAACAGGCACCUUGUUAUUAUAGUUAAAGUUAGCAAGCAUUUUCCUUCCAAGGAUCAAGUUCAAUUAUUCUGAGCAUGUUCAAUGGAUAACAGGGAUGGAAUAGAGGUUGAAUGGUAGGAGACAGUAUGCUUAGAGAGAAAGAAGGGUGUGAACUUUUUGUACGUCAUUUGCCUACUUUUUUUGAAACAUUCCCAGUCGUUUUGGUAGAUGAUGAUUGAAUUGUUAGACCCGAUGUUCCUUUUAUUAGGUGAGAAUCAGAGUUUAGUGUUGAACACGUAGGUGUAAUCAUUGAGUUCUACUGCUGUGAAGUGGGUGAAAUUUUCGAAUUAUAUCGUGCUACUUUGAAAACCUAUGGUGUUUCUUCAUAGCAGUCAAAAGGGUUGAUUUACUUUUGGCCUUUGGGCAUGCUUCGUUUGCUUUGCUCUUCUUCUUCAGACACAUUUGGCAUGACACUAGAACCUUGUUUGUGUUUUUUCUUAGGGUUGAUUUAUCAGAUAAUCACUCCAUUAAUAGUUAUUAUCUCAAAAAGUCACAAUUCUUCUUUUUUCCAAAUUUUUUUCUACAAAGAAAGUGACUUUCUGAGAUAAUAACUAUUAAUCGAGUGACCAUAUGAGAAAUCAACUCGUUUUUCUUUUAAGAAAUAUUCUUGUUGGUUCACUCAAUGAUGCCUUUUUAUCUUUUAUCAUCUUGCUAAUGGGACAUUGGACAAGUCUUUAAUUUAGACAAUCUUGUAGUUAGUUGCUAUGAAGUUUCAAAUUCCAUAGCAGAAACUCCAGUAUAUUGUCAUGGAGUAAAACUUGUAAAAACAACAACAUACCUAGUGUAGUAUCAUAAGUGAAGUCUAGGGAGGAUAAGAUGUACACAGACCAUAUCCCUACCUUUGUAGUGUAGAGACGGAGUUUGUUUCCGAUAGGCCCUCGACUCAACAAUAAAGAAAAGAACUUGAAGCAUGGUAGCAAGAAAAUAUGACAGAAAAAAAAGUAAGAUACAGAUCAAAUGAAGCAACAAAUAGUAAUACACAUCGAAGAAAAAGAAACAAAGUGCAACAAUACUUGGCUACCUACUAACCUUCUAAUCUAAUCCUCAACUUUCACUCCUUCCUAUCUAGGGUCAUAUCCGAAAUAAAACUUGUAGAUUUUGAAAUUACAUGACUAUAGUUAUUUUUCGAAGAUAUGUCCGAAAAGCGGCUCUCUAGUAUGAAUGUAGUUUGGGCAAGUUGUAUGACUUUGGGUGUCUGACAAACUAUUCCAACUUGCUUUUUGGUACAAGUCUUAAAUACAAUUUGAGUCUCAAUCUGACAAAUAAUUCAAUGAGCAAAACAAGAAUUCUCACUUCUACCUUCCACCAACCCCACCAUUACUCUCUUGGAGAGAAACAGACACAAAGAGAAGACUUCUCUUUACAAAGCCUUAAAAGUCUUGCAUUCCCAUCCAUUACAUUGCCUUCUUCUUUCAUAAAGAAUUGGUUUUGAGAAUCUAAAUCAACAACUCAGAACUUCCUCCUACUGUCCUGUUUAGCAAGAAACUAACAAACAGCGAUAUGGCGGCGUAUGCUGCUGUGAAUUCACUUUUGCAUACGCUGGAUAAUCUAUCUCAAACUCAUACAUCACAUUCUCUUCUUUACAAAAAAAAGCAAACUGAAGUCCUCAGUGACAAGUACACCUUCCUUAAAACCUUUCUUGAGGAUUUUACUAAUAUUUUCCAUGAAGAUGUAAAGAUGAAGCAUCUCGAAAGGAUAAUCCAAGAAGCUGCUAAUGGAGUGGAAGAUACUAUUGACUCACAUGUAUAUGAUAGCUCUGCCUUAGUACAAAGCAAGCGAGUACGAAGAAAGGCUUAUACGAUCUUUCAUCAAAACUUGGAAUAUGCAAUUGAGGAAAUUGGUUUGAUACAAAAAGAGGUUAUGAAAAAGAUAAAGGUCAACAAGUUCAACAGCAAAAUCUCUCAUUCAAGAGAUACUUCAUCUCAGAUCCCUAUGGAUCAAAAAGAUGUAAUCAUUGGACUGGAUGAAGACUUGCUAAAGAUAAAAGAUCGACUCAUCGUGCAAUCAUCAAGACUCGAAGUUGUCCCCAUUAUAGGGAUGGGUGGUAUUGGCAAGACCACACUGGCUAGAAGAGUUUAUGAUGAUUCCUUGAUUGCAUACCAUUUUUAUGUNNNNNNNNNNNNNNNNNNNNNNNNNNNNNNNNNNNNNNNNNNNNNNNNNNNNNNNNNNNNNNNNNNNNNNNNNNNNNNNNNNNNNNNNNNNNNNNNNNNNNNNNNNNNNNNNNNNNNNNNNNNNNNNNNNNNNNNNNNNNNNNNNNNNNNNNNNNNNNNNNNNNNNNNNNNNAAAGAAACAGUACUACUGAGCAAUUGGCUGAAAGAGUUUAUCGAAAUUUAAAAGGGAGGAAGUAUCUUAUUGUCCUAGAUGAUAUGUGGUCUAUCAAGGCUUGGCAGCAUGUGAGGAGAUCAUUUCCAGAUGAUCGUAAUGGAAGUCGAAUCGUGUUGACCACAAGGCUUGUAGAUGUUGCAUCUUGUGUUUGCUCUGGCAAUUCCCUUCACCAGAUGCGUUUUCUGAGCAUGGAGGAAAGCUGGGAUCUUUUAAGCGGUAAGGUCUUUGGGAAUGGUAGUUACCCUCCGGACAAAAUCUCACAUUCAAGAGAUACUUCCUCACUGCUCCCUUUGUAUCAAAAAGAUAUAAUCGUUGGACUGGAUGAAGACUUGCUGAAGAUAAAAGAACGACUCACCGUGCAAUCGUCAAGACUCGAAGUUGUCCCCAUUAUAGGGAUGGGUGGUAUUGGCAAGACCACACUGGCUAGAAGAGUUUAUGAUGAUUCCUUGAUUGCAUACCAUUUUUAUGUCCGAGCAUGGGCAAAUGUAUCUCAAGAAUUUGACACUAGAGAAAUUUUUCUUGGUAUUCUUCGCUCCAUUGGCAUGGUCAACGAUGAAGAAGAAAGAAACAGUACUACUGAGCAAUUGGCUGAAAGAGNNNNNNNNNNNNNNGUCAACGAUGAAGUAGAAAGAAACAGUACUAAUGAGCAAUUGGCUGAAAGAGUUUAUCGAAGUUUAAAAGGGAUGAAGUAUCUUAUUGUCCUAGAUGAUAUGUGGUCCAUCAAGGCUUGGCAGCAUGUGAGGAGAUCAUUUCCAGAUGAUCGUAAUGGAAGUCGAAUCGUGUUGACCACAAGGCUUGUAGAUGUUGCAUCUUGUGUUUGCUCUGGCAAUUCCCUUCACCAGAUGCGUUUUCUGAGCAUGGAGGAAAGCUGGGAUCUUUUAAGCGGUAAGGUCUUUGGGAAUGGUAGUUACCCUCCGGAAUUGGAGAAAAUUGGGAGGUACAUUGGCCAUCAGUGUCAAGGGUUGCCACUUGCAGUUGUUGCAAUUGGUGGACUACUUUCCAAGAUGAGCAAGGAAACAAGUUCUUGGGAGAAUGUUGCAGAAAAGGUAGGAUCACUUAUGACAAGUGACACUAUGGAUUGCUUGAACAUACUUUCUUUGAGCUACAACCACUUGCCUCAGUACUUGAAAACAUGCUUCCUUUAUAUGGGAGUUUUUGCAGAAACUCGUGAGAUCCCGGUCUGGAAGUUAAUAAAGUUAUGGAUUGCUGAGGGCUUCGUCAAGAAAGUUAAUCAUAAAAAUCUAGAAGAUGUGGCAGAGGAAAAUUUGAGGGAGUUGGUUGAUAGAAGUUUGGUUUGGUGGGAAGCAUACUUCACUAGGAAAAAUCAAGACUUGUAAGAUGCAUGAUCUCGUUCGAGAUAUGUGUUUGAGAGAAGCCCAAUAUGAGAAUUUUAUACACUUCGAAACAAGGUAUAACCAUGAUGAUCUUCUAGAAAACAUUAAUUGUCUACGCCGUGUAGUUGAUUUCAAUAAGUAUAGAUACAGUUUUGAUAUUCCUAAACUUAUGCCACUCACACGUUCUCUUUUCUUGAAAUAUCCAUACUCUGUUUGUUCCCUCUCACAGUCAAGCUUUAGAUUACUUAGGAUAUUAGAUGUUUGCUUUACAUCUCGUUUGUACCGUAGUAUGUCCAUAACAGAACUUGUUCAUUUGAGGUAUCUUGCUUGUCCAUCCUUCAAUGGUCUUGUGCAAUCACUAUGCAAGCUACGGAAUAUACAGAACUUAGUUAUUCAGGAUUUACGUUCAUCUGGUUUACGUAGGAGAACCCAGUUCCUACCAUGGGAAGUUGUGAAUAUGCCUAAACUAAGACAUAUCCAUACAAAAAAGUUUAGUCUUUUCAUACCCCCUACAUCACUAAUUGCUGAGAGGGAGAAUCAUUUACAAACGUUAACCGGAUUGAUGCCCUCAUCUUGUAAUGAAGAGGUGUUUCUAAGAAUUCCAAAUUUGAAGAAGUUGGGAAUUUUAAUUGUUGAUGAUUCAGACACUAUUCAGAAGUGUUAUUGCCUUGAUAAUCUUGUACAUUUAACUCAGCUUGAGAAGCUCAAAGUUGAGGUCAGAGAGAGUUGGCUAAUUUUUAGGCCGACUAUCAAAGGUUGGGUGGACAUUCCACAUUGUGACAAUUUCCCACCAAACCUUAAGAAGUUAACAUUGUGCACAACACACCUAGAAUGGGAAGACAUGAACAUUCUUAGUAAGUUACCUAACCUUGAGGUGCUCAAACUUAAAGAUCAUGCCUUUCGCGGACAUAUUUGGAAACUAAGCGAUGAAGACGCAGAUGGAUUCUUGAAGCUAAAGUUUUUACUUCUUGAGCACAUGCAUCUGGAGCAAUGGGAAGCAACAAGUUAUCAUUUCCCAAGCCUUGAGCACUUAGUCCUAACACAUUGCCAUUCGUUGGAGCAAAUUCCUUUCGACUUUGCGGAGAUUCAGACACUACAGCUGAUUGAACUACACAAUUGUAUGCGUUCUGUUCUUGUUUCAGCAGAGCAAAUACAAGAGGAGCAACAAAGCUUUGGAAAUGAUGACCUCAUUAUUCGUGUGAAC